CCUACGGGAGGCAGCAGUGGGGGAUAUUGCACAAUGGGGGGAACCCUGAUGCAGCGACGCCGCGUGGGUGAAGAAGCGCCUCGGCGCGUAAAGCCCUGUCAGCAGGGAAGAAAAUGACGGUACCUGAAGAAGAAGCCCCGGCUAACUACGUGCCAGCAGCCGCGGUAAUACGUAGGGGGCAAGCGUUAUCCGGAUUUACUGGGUUUAAAGGGUGCGUAGGCGGACUGUUAAGUCAGCGGUAAAAGCCCGGGGCUCAACCCCGGCGAGCCGUUGAAACUGGCUGUCUUGAGAUGUCGAGAGGUAUGCGGAAUGCGCAGUGUAGCGGUGAAAUGCUUAGAUAUUGCGCAGAACUCCGAUUGCGAAGGCAGCAUACCGGCGGCGAUCUGACGCUGAGGCACGAAAGCGUGGGUAUCGAACAGGAUUAGAUACCCCUGUAGUC
rnacentral:rRNA from 1 species